rnacentral:rRNA from 1 species
GACGAAGGUGGCAAGCGUUGUUCGGAAUCACUGGGCAUAAAGCGUGCGUAGGCGGCCAGAUCAGUCGGGUGUGAAAUCCCUCGGCUCAACCGAGGAACUGCGUCCGAUACUGUUUGGCUUGAGGUCCGGAGGGGAGAGUGGAAUUCCCGGUGGAGCGGUGAAAUGCGUAGAGAUCGGGAAGAGCGCCGGCGGCGAAAGCGACUCUCUGGUCGGAUCCUGACGCUGAGGCACGAAAGCUAGGGGAGCAAACGGGA